UUGAAAGAUUUCCUUACAAAAAUAUAAUUAAUGCAAGUUUAUGUUUAUAUGCUUAGGUAAAUGAAUCAUGCACUUUUAUAUUAUUUUGACUAUAAUCUUAGAAAAUUAAUUGAAAGAUUUUCUUUACAAAAAUAUAAUUAAUGCAAGUUUAUGUUUAUAUGUAUAUAUAUAUCAAUCUGAAAUAUAAUAGAACUCUCAAACAAUUUAUAAAACAUCCUACAAAAUGAGUCUCUCCAAAAAAUAUAUAUUAAUCGCAUUUGUUUUCACUCUUUUUUUGGCGACGUCAAUUGUUCGCUGCACCGAUAUUGUUUCAGAUUUCGGAGUAAAGUAUAAUAUGUGCUAUGGUCCAUGUGACGACAAAGGAGUGUGUGAGCCGUAUUGUCAUACCAAAAAAGGUCUGAUAAGGGGAGACUGUGCUGGCAAACGAAAAGGUUAUCUUGGCCUUUGUUGUUGUGAUGAACACUAAAUAAAA